CUGUGUGCUGCCAGGGGACACUCCUGGAGGCACGGGGAGGUAGGAUGGCAAAUGAGCCCAGUCACUGAGCACAGGAACUGCUGUUGUAAAGUGAAGGGGGGAGGAACUCAUUCUGCAAAUACAGACUUACACCUGAAUGAUUUCCUGUUCAAGUAUUACUUUUUAGCCAGAAUCCACACAGCUUCAUUACACAAAAUCAGAUGCUGCUUACAAAACAAAGGAAAAGGGAAGCAGUACAUCCUACCUCAUGAGAGAACCUGGACUGACAAUGAACACAGAAGGCCAAAGCAAUUUUAAGUCAGAGUCUGUGCAGGUGUAAUGAUCCAUGACCAGAUGUACAGGCACUGCUCAAGAGACUGCCAACUGCAUCCUACAGCAGGAGGAACAAACCUGGGACACAUCCCUUCACACGUGCAGUUAUGCCAGUAGUCUACAGUCACAGGAAUGGAGUGAGAGGAAGCUGUAGGAGAAGCUGAAUAGUGUGUUGCACCUCCCAAUAAUGUUGGCAAUCUGCAGCAUGGGCACAUCUCUGAACUUCUAAGGAGACAGUGACAUUUGAAAUAUUGAUAAGGACUACUGAUCAGAAAAUUCCUAUUCAUCCUACAUCCUGUUUCACUUUCAGCCACAGGGAAUCUUUUAAGGAACAUGACAGACAGCACAUAAAAAGUUACUCUUGGUUACAGGACACAACAACAAGUAAUACAAUUUAGUGAAAAAUGUAGGGUGGAAAUUUUCAUGCACUUCAUGUAGCUCCUGCUUGAAAUCCAAGAAACCAGAGGACAUCCAGCAGAUCAAAAUACACCUCCUUGGCAGAAAACAGCUGUUAUUUCUGAGGGCAGCUCAGCUGGCAGAGCUGGAAUGAGCUGUAGGCAUACAGCAACCUCUUGUGGCAAAUCCAGCACACACAGAGUAAUGAACAACCUUUGAAACUGCUUAAGCUACUCCUGAUACAAGUCAAAGCUCUGUAAAACUGCGUUAGCAAAUGACUGGAGAGUUGGAGUCUCUGUUACCUGGAGACUCAGCAAUACUCAGACUUCAGAGCUGUAAUAGACCUUCUGUUUGAUUCAAGAUGAAUUAAACAUUGGUAGGCUGUUAUAAAUGAAGUGCCAGACUGAAAUUUCUGUUAAUAAAAUUCUCUAGAAGCUUUUCAUUAGAGUAGAGCAAGCAUGGCGUAACGGCCAGAAGUAGAAUCUGUGGCCAGGUAUGACCAGAAGAAUAAACAUGCUGUUAUGUUGAAUCAUUGUUCUCUGCAUGGUUUUGCUGAAUAAAACUAUGACUGGUUUCAGCAGGGACAUCAAAGUGCCUUUAAUGUUUGCAGGAGCUGAGCAAGACGGAGAACACUUAAGAGUACAGGCCUGGCUCAAUAGUGUGUUCUGCAGAGUGCUGGCAGAGCAGCAGCCCUUCAGCUGACAGGGAGGAGGACAAGAAAGUGUCAGACAGUGCUACAGGCCUGAAGGGGAAAAAAAGGCAUCCCAGUAUCUGCACAGAAUCCAGGACACCUACCUCUUCAAAAGGUGUAACUCACUAGUUGUCCAAAAGCAUGAAGUGUAUGUUCCUCCAACCACCUGAGCAGCUGCAAAUGCCUGUCCUGCACAGGCUGAGGAGGGGAGAGCAGGGAGAAGGUGCUGGAAGGGAACAGGAAGAAU